rnacentral:rRNA from 1 species
UACAGAGGUCUCAAGCGUUGUUCGGAUUCAUUGGGCGUAAAGGGUGCGUAGGUGGCGCUGUAAGUCGGGUGUGAAAUUUCGGAGCUUAACUCCGAAACUGCAUUCGAUACUGCCGUGCUGGAGGACUGGAGAGGAGACUGGAAUUUACGGUGUAGCGGUGAAAUGCGUAGAUAUCGUAAGGAAGGCCAGUGGCGAAGGCGGGUCUCUGGACAGUUCCUGACGCUGAGGCACGAAGGCCAGGGGAGCAAACGGG